GUCCACUUAUACAAAACAGAAAAAUCGGCAAAUACCAAAAAUGGCUUCUUGUCUUCGUCCUCAAGGCGCAAAACGAAUAACUCUCACAAAAAUAAAUAUAAUUCCUGACAGUAGUAGAUAGAUCGUGUUCCCUCCCUUUUCUUUCUUUAUUUCCUCUCUCUCUCUCUCUAAAACCAACUUCUCUAGAGAGAGAGAGUCUGUCUCUAUAUCUCUGAAUCGAAUCAACCGCCACCGUCACCGUCAUUCAUGGCCACACACCGGCGGCGACACCGUCACCACUCUCACAACCGGUUCCGACUCCUUAUUCCGGCGAUUUCUGCAAUCUCCGGCUCGAUUCUCAUCGUUUACGCUCUCAUUUCUCUGCUCGCACCGUCUCCGGUUCAUCACCACCACCUGCUACGGCGGACGGAGUUGAAUGAGAGUGUUGUUGUUGAUGAUUCGCCUGCGGUUGCAUCAGUGUUCAAAGUUCCGAUCAGUGGUGGAAUGGUGAGUGAUCGGAGUCUAUGGAGUACGAGGAUGUCAAAGUAUUAUUUUGGAUGUAGUAAUGCUAGCAAUAAGUUUCCGAAAGUAGAAACAGUUACGUAUCCGAAUCGGUACUUGCUGAUAGCGACAAGUGGCGGUUUAAACCAGCAGCGUACCGGAAUUACGGAUGCUGUUGUUGCUGCACGUAUUUUGAAUGCUACUCUUGUGGUUCCGAAACUGGAUCAGAAGUCAUUUUGGAAGGAUUCUAGUACCUUUUCAGAGAUAUUUGAUGUUGAUUGGUUUAUAUCACACCUAUCAAAAGAUGUAAAAGUCAUAAAAGAGCUUCCACAGAAGGGAGGCAAGGGUUUGGUUCCGUAUCGUAUGCGUGUGCCCAGAAAGUGUAACGAGAGAUGCUAUCAGAUUCGUGUAUUGCCUGUGAUUAUAAAGAAGAAGGCCGUUCAGCUGGGCAAGUUUGAUUACAGACUUUCUAACAAGUUGGAUACUGAUUUGCAAAAGCUUAGAUGUAGGGUAAACUACCAUGCAUUAAAAUUCACAGACCCUAUAAUUGAAAUGGGUCAAAGGUUGGUCAACCGAAUGAGGAAGAUGGGCAAGCACUAUGUUGCUCUACACCUGAGGUUUGAACCUGAUAUGCUUGCAUUUUCAGGAUGCUAUUAUGGUGGUGGAGAGAAGGAAAGAAGAGAACUGGGUAAAAUACGGAAGAGGUGGAAAACUUUACAUAGCAACAAUCCCGACAAGGAAAGGAGACAAGGGAGAUGCCCACUUACACCCGAAGAAGUGGGCUUAAUGCUGAGAGCACUCGGGUAUAACAAAGACGUACAUCUUUACGUAGCUUCUGGUGAAGUAUAUGGUGGGGACGACACAUUAGCACCCUUGAGAGCACUCUUCCCCAACAUUCAUUCGAAAGACACCAUUGCCACCAAACAAGAGUUGGAACCAUUUUCUGCUUUUUCUUCCCGUAUGGCUGCACUUGAUUUCAUCGUGUGUGACGAGAGUGACAUGUUUGUUACCAAUAACAAUGGGAAUAUGGCAAAAAUCUUGGCUGGCCGAAGGAGAUACUUUGGACACAAACCAACGAUACGUCCGAAUGCGAAAAAACUAUAUCGUUUAUUCCUAAACAGAGAAAAUAUGACAUGGGGAGAGUUCUCUUCACGAGUAAGAACUCAUCAAAGAGGCUUCAUGGGGGAGCCGAAAGAGGUAAGGCCUGGGCGAGGUGAAUUUCAUGAAAACCCUGCCGCCUGUAUAUGCGAAGACACCGAAGCCAAAUCAAAACUUGACGCUCUCCCUAGAAAAUUCGGGAAGAAUAAUGCUGACGUUGACGAAACAGCUAUUGACCAAGACAUAGAAACCGAGUCUACUGAGUCUGAGUUAUCAGAUCAGGAUGAAGAUGAUGAUCUUAUCGGCGCUCAGUUUCAACAUCUGGCUAAUGAUACGAGUGUUGAUAAUGAUCCUUUGAUAUCCGACUCACCAGAGCUUGAAGAGUUGCUUUCUGACUAAAUAAUCUUGGCUUUACCUUUUGGCGGCUGAUCUAGAUGUAUGUUGACUAGUAGUAGAGCUGGUAGCGGAACGGUGUUAAGGUACAAGUAGAGAAGCAUUUGGUACAAGACAUUUACAACAUGCUAGAUCCGUUUUCGUUAAAACUGUACAGAGGUUAAUGCUUAUGUGGUCCCGUAAGUAUUGAAGGUUUCCGGUUUUUUUUUUCCCAAUUUUUGAGGAUGGGGCAAACUACUUUUUGAGGGGUGGGGUAAAGUACUAGACUUGGUAGAAACAUGCAGCUGGUAUAUUGAUUAUUGGAUUUUGUUAGAUAUUUUUUUUUAGUUUUAAUUUUUGAUCUUAGUAACA